GAUGAACGCUAGCGGCAGGCUUAAUACAUGCAAGUCAAGGGGGUAGCAAUACUACCGGCGCACGGGUGAGUAACACGUACAUAACAUACCAUAUACUGGGGUAUAGCUUUGGGAAACUGAAGGUAAUCCCCCAUAACAUUGCGAGAGGGCAUCUGAUUGCAAUUAAAGUUUCGACGGUAUAUGAUUGAUGUGCGUUUGAUUAGCUUGUUGGUAGGGUAACGGCCUACCAAGGCGACGAUCAAUAGCUGGCGUGAGAGCGCGACCAGCCACACUGGAACUGAGACACGGUCCAGACUCCUACGGGAGGCAGCAGUAGGGAAUAUUGGACAAUGGGCGAAAGCCCGAUCCAGCCAUGCCGCGUGAUAGAUGAAGGCCCUCUGGGUUGUAAACUUCUUUUGGAUGGGGCGAAAAACGGGAUUUAUCCUGGACUGACGGUACCAUCAGAAUAAGCACCGGCUAACUCCGUGCCAGCAGCCGCGGUAAAGUAG
rnacentral:rRNA from 1 species